UAUUAAGAUAAGAUUUUAAGCACUAAGUUUGGUUGAGUUUGACUGUGGUCUGUCACUGUUGACAGAUCAGACACCGGGAAAAAUAUACAAAAUAUUACAUUGUCAUUCAAAUAUUAGGCCAGAGAACAAAACUCAAGGCACCAUUUGAUCUCAGCUAUCUGCAGAAAGAAUUAUUAGCUAAACUUUGUGUUCUGCCUUUCUCCACAAGUUGAGAUGUUUUUCGUUUUGUAUUUUUACUCCUCGACGUCUGGCACAACACAUUCCAGUAAGCAAUGUAAUCACAUUCCAGCGGUUCGCACAUCGCUCAUCACUGCUUUCAAGUCACACCUAUUGUCUAUUGAGCCACAUAACGGUGAAGGCGAUUUGCAUCGGUGAUCCCCAUUCAGAUGCGUGAACCACGUUACCUGUGCCGGAUGCCUCGUGCAAAGACAAGAACCAAUUCGGAUACUGACCCAGAUGAGUGGUGCCAGCCUGUCCAUCAACUAGAAAAGCAUCAGGUUGAAGUUUAGUUUUUGAACAACAGUGUGCGUUUCGCAAGUCAGUCGUUCUUAAUCACGAGUGGCUUGAGUGUUUCUUACCUGAGUAAAAGUGAGCAUCUUGCCUGGAGCAGCCUGGAGGACGACAGCGAUCUUGGCCAGGUAGGUGGUGCUCUUCCUGGACAAACCUCUCUCCUGCAGCUGAGCUCCACACUUCUUCGUCCUGUCCUGCAUCUUGUUGGUCAGAGAGUCAAGUCUCACGCAGAGUGGUGCUGUCGACAGAGUGACUGAGUGCACAUGUGGACCUGCAGUGGUCCGCCCUGGAUAUAUCUGUCCUGCUUGGACAAUGGGGCAUUAGAGGGCGUGCACUGCAGGUUAAUGAGAACCUUUUCAUGGAUGAGCCGUUACUGCUGAAGGCGGAGCCAGUGAUCAGAGUAACAAUCCAUUUCCAACAGUUCAUCAGCAUAUCUGUCUAGAUGCUCAGAGUUUAAUCUGUAUCUUUGUUCACAACAGGGGAGACAUUUAUUUUCUCCCUAAUAAUACACUACAAUUAUACAAUAAUGAUUUUCUUUCCUCAUGUGGAAAUAAAAUAACUGCUACAGCAGCA